ensembl:lncRNA
CACCAGACCGGGAAAGUUAACAGGUCCACAAUUGAUGGAGAGGAAACACUUGUUUUUCCAGAGCACUGCAAUUUAGCCUAAUCAGGUUUCAAGAGUUAUUCUCCCUGGCCACAACACUUCAUAUUUGCAGGGUUCUUUGUGGCCAUUUUUGUAAGUAUUUGUAAGUAGGAAUUCUUGAAAGCAGGUGAAUGUAAAAGCACCUGGUCAGACAGAUCCUUAUUCUGAUCACCAGUGGAGAGAGGGCCCAUUUUCUCCUUUACCCGAAGCAGCAGAUCUCAAUGGGGGAAACAGAAGUUGGACACACACACCUGGGUUCAGGCUUCAGCACCACCAAAUGGGCUCGGCAAGUCACUUAACCCUGCUAACUCCACUUCCUCAUCUGCAAAAUCUACUCCACAGAGGUGAUUCCAGUGUUAAAACAAGAAAGACAUGUGAGAGGGCUAUGUAAACAUGACUCGUGGCACACAUCUAGUCUUUUCUCUUAUAUCCUGCUGUGUCCCCAGCUUGCAUUCGGGCAUAGAAGAGGAGAGAAAGGGAGAUGUCAAGGAUGAUCUCAAGGUUUCGCUAGGCUUCAAUAAUGAAGUAACAAAGAUCGACUAUUGCAUCUAAAUGCUGUAAAUUUAUUUUAAGGUAGAUAAAAAAGGAUGAGUUAAAAAAAAAAAAGCAAGUGGUAGGAUGGUCCUUUGUGAUUCUUUUUCACUUUUCCAGAAAAAAAGAGGAAGGAAAUAUAUUGUGACAAACACCAGAAGCUGAAUGCCAGUGACCAGUCUUCACAUCUUUCCAUUUCUUGUUGAGAUUCUCACUGACAGUGUUUAAACAGGGCUGGGCUGUUUACACACAAUCGUUGUUCGCAGUGGCCCAGCAGAACCUGUAAGGGACAUAUAUCACACAUCACCCCAAUGCAGAGGAGGUGUGAGCCACAAGUCUGAAGGACAAGGGCAAACUCUGCUUUCAUCUGCUCCACCGCAACCCUCAAAGAAGUGCUGAGACUUCACAGCCAGGGUCGAGAGCUGAGAGCUAGGAGGAGCUCAGCAGAGUGGAGAUGCUCUGGAAGCUGGACACCAGCAUCGUAACUUUCUGUUGUCGGAAGUGGUGCAAAUUCCCAGAGCAUCGGAGGUGUCAGCCCUCAAAAAUAAUCUACACUCUCAUUCCAAGACAACAUGAAAUUGACUUAGGGAUGAGUACAGCAACGCUCCCUCCCAAUGCCUCAAAGAAUAAGAGCCUGCUCUAAAGGCUUACUCUCUGGUAGCAUCCUUUAGUGCAAUUCACAGUGGUCCUUAGUGGAACUCUUUAUUCAUCAAAAAAAAAAAACAGGUUGAAUGCCUACCAUGCAUCACAAUCUGGGAAACUCGGAGAUAGGGAGGAAAGGUCAUUGACUUCAUGAUUUGGGGAGGAAAAUGAGAUGUAUACGCAAGACCUGCCAAGGAGAGCUGGAGAACGAAGGCAGCUGCUCAGCACUGGCUCUCUGUGUGGCUUUGGCCAGAGAUGAAAAGGAGUCAGCGCCAGCCUGCAGUCAAGCUGGGUUUCACUGAAGGAGUCAUCUAGACAUGUGCCAGCCUCCCGGCCACUGCUGGGGGCAGGACUCACCACCUCCAGGGGAUGCUCACUAGGGUGGCCCCCUGACCACUCGUCCACACCCCACAGGGCCUGCACGGUGGCCAUUCCAAAGUGCUCCUUUGUUUUUGGUGUUAUUCUCUAGCCCAAAAACGUUGGUGACACCCCCUUGUUCACCUGCAGCAGUGUGUCCCCAAGAGGCACCUGUCCUGUGAGAUGCUCCUCAGAAACCCAGGCUGUAUCACUUGAGUUUGGAGAAUGCAGCCUUCUCUAUCCCACUCCCCCUUGCAGAGUCCCAGUGCUCCAAGAAGUCCUGGAGGAAAGAGGCGCACUCAGGCUCAUCGAACCCAGUAUAUUUCAAAAAUAACGUUUGACCAAAGGACUUUUCCUUAAUAACUCUGAGCAAUGUCCCUCAGAACCGCACCUCCAAGCAAUAUGCUUUGGGAGACACUGCUCUGUGGAUAAAAACGCAAACUUCCUAGUGUUCAGCUAAAGCUCCCCUCAUUCUGGUCCCUGACAACUCUCAGCCUGACUUCCCACUACUCCUCUGUAUGCCCCGAAGUCCAGAGCCAUUGAAUUAUUGCUGAUAUUAAUGAUUUGUGUGUGUGAAUGUUGCAAAAAUAUAAACUUGGAAAAAGAAGAAAAGCAGGGUCUUAAGCAAGAAUGUUACCUGAAGGAUCCUAGAUUUCAGUUCAAAAGCACUUGAAAAGUUAAAUUAUACUAAUCAUCCUUUCAUUUUUUUGUCAAUAAACUAUGCAUUUUCCUCCCUCCAGGCCUUUGUUCAUGCUGUUCCCUCAGUCUGGAAAAUCUUCCCCCUUUAUUUAUCUAUGAAAAGCCUAUGAAUGCAUCUUUCAAAGCUUUAUUCAAAUGCCACGUCUUCUGUGGACUCUCCCCAAAUUCCAUACUAAGAAUUUAUUACUCAUUGCUCUGUAUUCGAACAGCACUUUUCACGAAUUUCUGUUAAAGUACUUUUCUUGAUAAUUAUGUCUAAUAGCUGUCAUUUAUUGGCAUCCCUCUGUGUCAGCAUUGUGUGCAAGAUGCAUACUGGUAAAAAAAAU